GGGGGAUAUUGCACAAUGGAGGAAACUCUGAUGCAGCAACGCCGCGUGAGGGAAGAAGGUCUUCGGAUUGUAAACCUUUGUCCUUGGUGACGAUAAUGACGGUAGCCAAGGAGGAAGCUCCGGCUAACUACGUGCCAGCAGCCGCGGUAAUACGUAGGGAGCGAGCGUUGUCCGGAUUUACUGGGUGUAAAGGGUGCGUAGGCGGCUUUGCAAGUCAGGUGUGAAAACUAUCGGCUUAACUGAUAGACUGCAUUUGAAACUGUGGAGCUUGAGUGAAGUAGAGGCAGACGGAAUUCCCGGUGUAGCGGUGAAAUGCGUAGAGAUCGGGAGGAACACCAGUGGCGAAGGCGGUCUGCUGGGCUUUAACUGACGCUGAGGCACGAAAGCAUGGGGAGCAAAC
rnacentral:rRNA from 1 species